GUGACCCCAGGUCAGGCGGGGACACCCGCUGAG
rnacentral:rRNA from 56 species